rnacentral:rRNA from 1 species
CCUACGGGAGGCAGCAGUGAGGAAUAUUGGUCAAUGGACGAGAGUCUGAACCAGCCAAGUAGCGUGAAGGAUGACUGCCCUAUGGGUUGUAAACUUCUUUUAUAUGGGAAUAAAAUGUUCCACGUGUGGGAUUUUGUAUGUACCAUAUGAAUAAGGAUCGGCUAACUCCGUGCCAGCAGCCGCGGUAAUACGGAGGAUCCGAGCGUUGUCCGGAUUUAUUGGGUUUAAAGGGAGCGUAGGUGGAUUGUUAAGUCAGUUGUGAAAGUUUGCGGCUCAACCGUAAAAUUGCAGUUGAAACUGGCAGUCUUGAGUACAGUAGAGGUGGGCGGAAUUCGUGGUGUAGCGGUGAAAUGCUUAGAUAUCACGAAGAACUCCGAUUGCGAAGGCAGUUCACUGGACUGCAACUGACACUGAGGCUCGAAAGUGUGGGUAUCAAACAGGAUUAGAUACCCGAGUAGUC